CACCGAGGGGAAAUGCACCAAGCUGACACCCACCAGGUUGUUGUUGUUUAGUCGUUUAGUCGUGUCCGCCUCUUCGUGACCCCCUGGACCAGAGCACGCCAGGCCCUCCUGUCUUCCACUGCCUCCCGCAGUUGGGUCAAACUCAUGCUGGUAGCUUCGAGAACACUGUCCCACCAUCUCGUCCUCCGUCGUCCCCUUCUCCUUGUGCCCUCCAUCUUUCCCAACAUCAGGGUCUUUUCCAGGGAGUCUUCUCUUCUCAUGAGGUGGCCAAAGUCUUGCAGCCUCAGCUUCAGGAUCUGUCCUUCCAGUGAGCACUCAGGGCUGAUUUCCUUAAGAAUGGAGAGGUUGGAUCUUCUUGCAGUCCAUGGGACUCUCAAGAGUCUCCUCCAGCACCA